CUGCUUGAGACGAAUCAGAUCAUAUCAUAAACGAAAGCAACAACUUUUCUCCUAUUUUCACGAACAAAAUAUGGCAAAUGCUGGUAGCAGCAGUAGCAGUAUGGUCAGAGAGCUGCACUUUGUUAACUGGUUAGUGAAUUCUGAUUUAAAUGAGAAUCCCUCUGACAACACUGAUGAGGAUGAUAUCGAUGAAAGUGGACUGAAGAUGUGCGAUGAAUUGGAUUCAGACCUGCACGACCCUGAGGAACAGUACCAUCUACCCCGGAGCAGCCCUGUCAUAUCCCGCAAGAGACAUAACACAGAGACAGAAAAACCAUCUGAUCUGUCUUUGACACCUCCAAUAUGGGAACUAUCCAUCUCUCCAAUGACGAAAUCCAACGAUUCAAGUGCACAUAGAUUCAGUCGUGUAGAGAAAGAGAGAGACCUUGAUCACAAUGAUUCACCCAAGGGCUCUUCAGGACAGACACAGUUCCUCGCAGGUAAUCAUGGCCGAGGAAUUUCACGUGUCUCUCAGGACACUCAGCUUCACAGCCAGUCUUUAGUGUCUGGACGGUUACAUGAGGGUUUCCGGUCAAAGACUAAAAGAAGAGCCUGCUCUGACAUCCCACUAGCAUCUAGGCAGAGGAGCUCAGACCAAGCUAAGAAAUGUGGAUCAUGUGUUGAUGUACACGCCACUGAAGACAUCUACAGUCUGGACAAGGAAAAUGCUCAUUUUGUAGUUGUGGAUAUGGUGCUGGAAGUUCUGGAGGCUGUGAAAUGGGUUGUGUGUCUGCAGCAGUUAAAAAACACACAUCCACAUCAAGACAGAUGUGAAACACACAAUACUUCAAAAACAGACUCAAUCUCUUCCUUUGACAGCGGGUUUGAGGAUGACAGCGCCUCCCAACUGUCUUCAAACAGACACUCCCUGGCUUCAUUUCAGAGUUGUCUCCAGAGCUAUAGAAUGCAGUGGUCUGCUGAAGAUUUAGCCCACAAUUUGGUGUCAGAGUUCAGGAAGCAGUGGUUCCCCUCUGAGCUACUGCAAAACCCUGUCAACCUCAACUCUGCUCUGCAGGAAGUCGCUUUGGUAGAGGACAGGAUCAGUCUAACUGAAGAGAUCAUGCAGAAGACCAGAAUGAGAGGAACAUUAACCUGGGCUCCACCCAGAUUUCAAAUCAUCUUCUGUGUCCAGCCAACACACAGACGCAGUGAUGUCAUCACUUCCCAGUACUUCCUGUGCGCAGGUUGUGGUACUGAAGUCGAGCCCAGGUAUAUGAAGAAAUUGCGGUAUUGUGACUACCUGGGAAGAUACUUUUGUGAUGGCUGCCACGGUGGUUUAGAAUCAGUGAUUCCAGGUCGGGUUCUGAAUAACUGGGAUUUUGCACGGUAUCCGGUCUGCCAUUUUUCCAGACAGUUACUGGACUCUAUAUGGCAGCAACCGCUUUUCAAACUUACAAGUGUGGCCAAAAACCUGUACAGCCAGGCCAAAGAGCUACAGCGUUUCAGAGAACUACAGGAGCAACUAAUAUCCAUCAAAAAGCUUCUGAGUACAUGCAGACUAUCAGCUGGAGUCCUUGACGAGUUUGAACAACUUCCUGCUCACCUGAUGCAGGAACUCCACCUCUUUUCAAUGGAUGAACUCAUCAGGGUGAAAAAGGGUCAGCUCUGUACCAUUGCAAAAGCCUUGCUGCAGUCUGCAGUUGCUCACAUAGACCUUUGUGAGUCACCAUCUCUCUUACAAUCUUCAGCUGUGUCAGGCCAAAGGUUUUAUCUGUGAGUUCUGUCAUGGGAAAGAAGUGCUUUUCCCUUUUCAGAGAGACACCUGCACACGCUGCCAAGAUUGCAGAGCCUGUUUCCACAUCUCAUGUGUCCGUGAUGAAUCGUGUCCCAAAUGUGCCAGACUCCAGAAACGAAAGAAAAUCCAGGAAGAGAUCAGUUUAUGAAAUCUACAUGUCCCUUGCUGCAUUUAAAGCUGCAUGCAAACAUUUUCCGGUCUUCAGACUUCUUGAACUGUUCAAAAUGCCUACUUGAAAGACUACUGACAU